rnacentral:lncRNA from 1 species
AAACGAAAACAACCCCACCCCCUGCGGCGCCACCCGGCUGGGAGCGGAGAGAGACUGACGGCGGAGGCGGGGGUCAGGGCGCGGACCCGGACCCCAGCCCCAUGGGGGACAGAGUCCAAAAAAACCGGCCGGGUGGAGGAUGCAGCCGGGCGUGGUGGCUACAAGGAAGUGCCCUGGUGUUAAGAACUCAGCCUCUGAAACCCGCCGCCCAGCUUCGAGUCAGCGACGUACUUUUGUUGUCCCGGCCUUAGUAUCCCCGCUGCAAUAAGAGGUACUCAGCUCAAACCAUCUGGGUGAGGAUUAAAGGAGUUCAUAUCCAUAAAGGACUAGAACAGGUCCUGGCACCACGUAAACAUUCUUAUCAUCAAAUGUGAAAAAACAAAGUUCUCUAAGAUUUCGAAAGUGAACAGGUUAUUUUUCUACGGAGUAUUUGUGUCUGUUUCAACGUAAAAUUCAAGGUGUAUAUUUCAAAAUAUAUAGCUAAAUGAAUGUCUAUUCUAUUAAAAUGAUAAGAGAAACCUCUAAUGA